AUAAUUGAUUCGAAGGGCGUUCAGUUUGGUAACGAGCUGGAGCAUCACUGGGUGAAUUGCUGGAACUUCCUAAAGCUUCAUCAACCACAGCGAAGUUGGAAACGACAGGCGUAACGGUUUGAAAAUGAUGAAGAUGAACAAAUGGAUAAUCAGCAGCCAAGCUCCUGUGAGGAAACUCUGGAGAAGGUUCAACGACUAGAGAAAACGGUCUAAGGUGGAAGCUAUGACUAUGAAUCUCGUAGGGCAGCAAAGGCUGUUCGAAGUGCCCAGCCCCUUUAAUUCAAAAGGGUGAAGAUAUAGUCUAUUCUAUGACCGAAAGGCGUAG
rnacentral:ncRNA from 1 species